GGGCCGGAAGCUUAAGCGGUAUAAGCAAGCGACUCAUAAUCGUUCGACAGUGGGUUCGAGUCCCACCCGGCCUACCA
rnacentral:tRNA from 2 species